rnacentral:tRNA from 1 species
GCCGCGGUGGUGCAGCUUGGUUAGCAUAGGAGGCUGUGGACCUCUCGAUCGUGGGUUCAAAUCCCACCCGCGGCC